UAAAUCGAUGAUAUCUAAAAGCCCAUCGUCUGUGGAGUCCGAGGAUACUCCAUCAGAUUUUGCCACUGUGUUAUGUUCAGGAGGGGCAGAUUCAGAGUGGGUUUCAGCACGAGAUUCACUCCGUUCAAUACUCUUUGUCAUCCUUAUCCUCUUUGUGUUAACAGUGGCGCCAUCUGUAUCGUCGUCCUCCCCCACAGGCGUGGUUGCUGGCCGGACCUGAGAGAGAUCAGGAACUAUACUGGCACGGGUUGGCCUAUGGAACGGCGACCCGGAAAGAGUUCCCUCGGACUCAGUGUGAGAGGACUCUUGGGGAGAUUGGAACCAGGUAAGUAGGCUUAUUUAUUAUUUUUUUAUGUUUUUUUGUGUUCUCAGGUAAGUAGGAUCUUAAUUAGUAUCAUGUACUUUUUUAUUUUCAGGAAAAUGGGGCUCGAUUUGUGUUAGGUGCUUUUUAAGUAAUUGUGGAAUUAUGUAUUAUAUACUAUAUUAUCAAGUGUAUUUUGAGGAAUUUUUAUUUCAGGUCAAUAG
ensembl:lncRNA